rnacentral:lncRNA from 10 species
GUAUGAGCUUUAUUCACUUCCUCUUCCUCUCGUUUGAGUGCCUGAAAGAACUGUGGCUGAUGUCUAUAGACAUAGAAAAAUCUAGGAGAAUAUGAUUCAUUGUCUAACCCCAUCAAGGGGUUACAUAUUUUAAAUAAGACGUCAUUUCUCCUCUUCACUCCAGCAUCUCCUCCUUCAAAGGCAUUUUUCACCCUCUUGAAAUUAAUACGCUCUAUUCGCUCUUUUCACCUAAAAAAAGGUCAAUCGUCGCUCUGAGAAACAACAGUGAGAUGCAAAAUAAGGGUAAAAUGGCAUUGAAAUGAAUCCCUUUGAAAAAGUAAGCGGUUUGCUUUAUCAGUUAAUGGUCUCAUCAGCGCUUCAGUUUCCUCUUCUGCAAAAAUCAGUCUGUUGAACUAGAGCAUAUCAAAGGUUCCUUCUAGUGUUUUGAUUCUAGGACCUCUAAAUUCAUGCAGGCUGCAUAAUGCAAAUUUAACCUGAUUAAAGCCUUAUUUCUCA